rnacentral:lncRNA from 1 species
CGAGGCGAGUGCGGGACAUUAACUGUUCCCGGAGCUGCUUCCAACGCUUGUUGGGGACAUUAACUGUUCACGAACCGCUUACGUGGCGGAACCUGGUCGCCGAUCUCGUGCAUUUCGCCGUCGACUAUCCACGAUUCACCACUCCGACUUCUCCUCCGCCUUCCUCAUCGCCAGCGCCGGAGACCACGACCGCCGCCUCGGCGACCGCGCCUCCGUCCGCACUCGCCGGAGUUGGUUGCCGGCGGACUCCACACACCAAGGCAACGUCUUCGGUCUUUUUGCCAGGGAGAGCAUUCCGUAUUGUGACUGGGAGCCAAAGCUAAAAAGCAAGAGGACCCGAUUCCAGCGAACCGGGUCGGGUUAUAUUUUGGAAGACACCUGUCGAAAUCCUGGAGCUUACGAUUCAGGGAUUGCCACGGAGGAUCUCGAAGGUCGUGUAAGUUGAAAUCGGACGGUUAUA